UAAAAAUUUUAAAUACAUUUUUUAUUAAUUCAAUUUUUAAUUUGCAUUUUAGUUAAUUACAUUGUUUUGUUUAUAGUUUUAACUUAAAAAAAUUCUAUUGUCGGUGUUGCCCAGAUGCACGAUUUUCAGAAUGACAUAUUUUAUCUUCUACACAUAGCUGUAAACAAACUCUCCUGAAAUAAACUGUGGGACUGGCUGCAUCUUCACAUCUCCCUGAGAACAUGUGGAUUUUUAAGGACUGAGGUCUGGCCUUCCCCCAUUCACACUGCCUGAUGUUUGGAAUAGCUAAUGGUUUCAGUUUCAAAACAAAA